GACAGAGGGUGCAAACGUUGUUCGGAAUUACUGGGCGUAAAGCGUGUGUAGGCGGCUACGUAAGUCGGAUGUGAAAGCCCCGGGCUCAACCCGGGAAGUGCACUCGAUACUGCGUAGCUAGAGUGUCGGAGAGGUUGGUGGAAUUCUCGGUGUAGAGGUGAAAUUCGUAGAUAUCGAGAGGAACACCGGUGGCGAAGGCGGCCAACUGGACGAACACUGACGCUGAGACACGAAAGCGUGGGGAGCAAACAGG
rnacentral:rRNA from 1 species